rnacentral:rRNA from 1 species
UACGUAGGGUGCGAGCGUGUCCGGAAUUAUUGGGCGUAAAGAGCUCGUAGGCGGCUCAUUGCGUCAACCGUGAAAUCCUGCUGCUCAACGGCAGGUCUGCGGUUGAUACGGGGUGGGCUGGAGUUCGGUAGGGGAGACUGGAAUUCCUGGUGUGAGCGGUGAAAUGCGUAGAGUAUCUGGAGGAACACCGGUGGCGAAGGCGGCAUCCUGGACCGGCAUGACGCUGAGGCGCGAAAGCUAGGGGAGCAAACGGGG